CCCUUAGAUGUCCGGGGCCGCACGCGCGCUACACUGAAGGAAUCAGCGUGGCUUUCUCCCUGACCCGAAAGGGUUGGGAAACCCGUUGAAUCUCCUUCGUGAUAGGGAUUGGGGCUUGAAAUUGUUCCCCAUGAACGAGGAAUUCCCAGUAAGCGCGAGUCAUAAGCUCGCGUUGAUUACGUCCCUGCCCUUUGUACACACCGCCCGUCGCUCCUACCGAUGAGUCGUCCGGUGAAGUUCGUAGACCUCGUGAUUGCGGAUCACUGGGGGAAGCAAAAUGAACCUCGCGGUUUAGAGGAAGGAGAAGUCGUAACA
rnacentral:rRNA from 1 species